rnacentral:lncRNA from 1 species
GGUGGUUCAUGCGGUGGUUUCCACCGUCUUCUUCGUGAAGACGGUGGUGCUACUGUUCAUCUUUUUUUUUGUGUGCAGAAUUUUAUAAAAUUUAUAUCGUUGGAAAGGUCUUGAUGAGUAGAUUCCAAAUAUCAUAAAAGCUAAGCCUAAUUCAUCAUCUAUUUUCUGGAUCGAAGGAAAUAAGUUUCUAGAUCUAAACUUUAAUUCAACAUAACUUCUUCAUUUUUCAUCCAAAUUUCAUGAAAUUUAUAUCAGAAUAACCAGUGAUGAAAGCUCUACAAGUUUAUGUACAUAAAAUCAAGAUUUAUGAGAUUCGAAUUUCCAACCUCUUGAAGAGUAGUGGAUGAAAACAGUGUGUUCAAGCUUCCUAAACCUCCAAAUCUCCUUCUCCACUCUUGUUAUGAAGCUUGAUGUAGAAAUGGAUGCUUGCC